rnacentral:tRNA from 1 species
GGUGAUAUAGCUUAGUUGGUAGAGUGCUUGCCUAGUAUGCAGAAGUCCCUAGAUUCAAUCCCCAGUAUGACAA